CCGCGAAUUCGCCCUUCCCUAUGGGGUGCAGCAGGCGAGAAACCUUUGCAAUGUGCGCAAGCACGACAAGGUUAAUCCGAGUGGCUUCUGUUGAAGUAGCCUUUUGACAGUCCUAAAAACACUGUUGAAUAAGGGGUGGGCAAGUUCUGGUGUCAGCCGCCGCGGUAAAACCAGCACCUCAAGUGGUCAGGAUGAUUAUUGGGCCUAAAGCAUCCGUAGCCGGAUCUAUAAGUUUUCGGUUAAAUCUAUUCGCUCAACGUAUAGGCUGCCGGAAAUACUGUGGAUCUAGGGAGUGGGAGAGGUAGACGGUACUCGGUAGGAAGAGGUAAAAUUCACUAAUCUAUCGAUGACCACCUGUGGCGAAGGCGGUCUACCAGAACACGUCCGACGGUGAGGGAUGAAAGCUGGGGGAGCAAACCGGAUUAGAUACCCGGGUAGUCCCAGCUGUAAACUAUGCAAACUCAGUGAUGCAUUGGGUUGUGCCUAAUGCAGUGUUGCAGGGAAGCCGUUAAGUUUGCCGCCUGGGAAGUACGUACGCAAGUAUGAAACUUAAAGGAAUUGGCGGGGGAGCACCACAAGGGGUGAAGCCUGCGGUUCAAUUGGAGUCAACGCCAGAAAUCUUACCCGAAGAGACAGCAGAAUGAAGGUCAAGCUGGAGACUUUACCAGACAAGCUGAGAAGUGGUGCAUGGCC
rnacentral:rRNA from 1 species